rnacentral:rRNA from 1 species
UUUUUUAAUUGAAAACUAGUAUGAAGGGUUGGACGAAAUAUAAACUUUUUUAAAAAAACUUUUAGAAUUUUAUUUUUAAAUUAAAAAGUUUAAAUAGCCUUAAAAGACGAGAAGACCCUAUAGAGUUUUAUUAUUAUUUAAAUUUAUUUUAUUAAUAAUAUUUUUAAAUAUUAAAAAAUAAUAAUUUUAUUGGGGUGAUAUUAAAAUUUAAUAAACUUUUAGUUUUUUUUUCAAUUAUUAUUGUUUUUUUGAUCCAAAAUUUUUGAUUAAAAAUAAAAAUUACCUUAGGGAUAACAGCAUAAUUUUUUUUAAAAGUUCACAUUUAAAGAAAAGAUUAU